rnacentral:lncRNA from 1 species
UAAUUAGGAUUGGCCAAAACGUAAGCCUCAAUGGCCUUGAAAAGAGCAUCACCCUUAGCCUUGCCUUCCUCAACUUCCUUUUCAAUGGGCUUAGCAUCUCCUUUUGUAUGAUAUUUAACAAUCAUCUUACCAACAGAUCCUCCAUUUGGACCUUCAAACAAUUUGGCCUCAAAUGAUAUCUUCUCAACUAUGUCCGAUAUACCGACUCCUCCAACUAUACUGUAAUUAUAUUCAAACUUUGCAUCAUCAAUGGCUUCAACUUUGUGCAACACGUACAAGGUCUGUCCUCCUUCAACAAAAGUGAGCUUCUUGACAGUGCCUGGACCACCAUUUCCUUCAACGAUCUCAACAGUCUUGAUUGAAUCAAUAACCUUUGGAACGAUGACAUCAGCGUCAUGCACGACCGCUUUGAAGAGCUUGGCAGGAGGGACGGUGGAGGUGGUAUCAUUCUCAUAUGUGAAAACACCCAUGAUUAUUGAUAAUAUGGUGAUGAUGAAGUUGUAAAAAAAACAAGUUUGAGAAGAAGAUAUGUAUGUUGGCAUAUGAAAGCUUUCUAUUUAUAGGCACUUACUCUGUGCCUUCUUUGCCGACCUCAAUUUAUUCCCCUGCUGCUAAUAGUGUGACUUUGUUGACUCACCGGCUCACUAUAUACACACGACGCACUUUUAUUUUAUCAGCAUUCGUACUUCUAGAUUAUAAUCAAUUUUAUUAUGGAUCAUUUUCAAAAAGUUUGUACUGUUUGUAUAUAUUGAAUGUUGCGAAUUAAAUGAUGAAACAAACUUAUAAAUUCAUGCUGUUUAAUGUGGACUAAAACUAAUGAUGCCCUUCUAGAAAAGGACAUUUUAUUUUUUAAUAUAGGUUUUUAUUUUAAGAUUUAAUAUGUUUUUAUCUUUUACAAAGUUCAAGUUCUUCCGAAAUCUAUGUACAAAGAUAUAUUUAAGAUAGUAUCAAUCAGAUGUAAUUAGGAUUUACCAAAAUAUAGCCUAUGAUCUAGUUUAUUGUUGGCGUGAAAUUUCGACAUCAUAGACUUAUUUUGAGAAGGAAGGGUUUAAAAAAAUCUUGAGAAACUAGUGAUGGUUGAUAGCAUUUCGAUAGAUAGGAUCUUUGACCAAGGACAUCGAAAUAUCCAUAUAGAAACUGAAGGUGAGGACUUGGAAUAUUUUCUCAGAUUAUGUUCUUAGGAGUUCAUCUAUAUUUAAGAAUUUAUGUACAUAUGUCUUAGGAUUCACUAGCCGAUCCUUUAAGUAAACUUUUCUAAAGAGACUAGUUGUUGCUUACUAAAAUUUGGGGUAAACAAAUUGGUGCGCCUAUUGGGACAUUAUGCUAAAAAAUUUAACUUCACAAGUAUUGUAUUUUUUCUUUUACAAAUUGCUCUUCGUGAAUGAAAUGUUCUUGAUAUUUGUGAGUGCAUGCUUUUAAGAAGUGGAAAAGCUUUACCUAAAAUGACGCGUCCUCUUACAGAUAAUAUUACUUCUAAUUCACAGAACAAUCCCCAAAAUAUAGUAGAACAACUAGUCGAAUUGACGGUUGGAGAGAUAGUUGUUUCAACACAUAUUAGAAUAACUGCUUUUGUGGCGUCAUCGACACCAAUUAUGUCGACACCAACACAAGAGGCUAUUCCCUCUCCAUAACUAGGGAGUCUCCCACUUAACACCAUUGUUGUAAGACCAACUUUAGGAGACCCUAUGAUGCCAUUUUUUUCCAAGUUUCACAUUCCCUAUGGACAGCAAAGAGUACCUAUAUGGUAUAUCAACAACAAUGUUGACAUGCCUUCAUUCCAAUGUGUCGACUUAUGCAGAUAACAAAUGGUUGUUGUGCUACCAUUAAACCCAUAUCCUGCCUCAGGUUCAAUAAUCAAUAACCCUAUUCGAACAUCGCCACUGCCCCACGUCGACUUUGAACAAAACAUCUCUUAUGUCGAUGAGGUAACAUAUGGACGAAAGUAACCACGAAAUGGUCAACAUGUUGACCCAACAUAUUGGUACGGUGUUCAACCCCUUAAUUCAUAACACCAUACAAAGUUAUAAACUAUUGGCUAAUCAUAUGAUUCGAAUAGACGAUUUCUUUGGUGCUCCUCAGGCCCAAGCGAGGUCAAUUCCUCAAAUCUCAAAUUACAGGCAAGUAGAGACACGUGACAAUAGGUAAGCCCCUUUAAAUCAAGGGUAACAAUAGGGGGGACUUCGACACACUGAACCUCUCAUACAUAGAAAGGAUGAGGAAUACAUAGGUCAAAACAACCCAAGGCCAAUAAUGGUUAAUAGAAACCAGGAUGUCGACCAAAUACUUAAAAAUGUCCAACAAAAUAACUUUGGAGGGGAAACAACAUAGAAAACGUGGUCGAACAAAUCCUUAUCCAAAAUGGCCUUAACAUUGGCCUCCAUAGGCCUAACUUUGUGUCACCUCUAUCAGAGUACGUUCAACAGACAUAACUCUCCAGGGGAUAGAAAGUCCCUAAAUUCACCAAAUUUUUUGGUGAAACAAAUGAGUCUAUAGUCAAACAAGUCGUCAGAUAUCAGAUUGAGGCAUGAGACAUAGCCAAUGUUGAGAAUUUGAAGAUGAAAUACUUCCUAAAUUCUAUGACAAAAAAUGACUUUACAUGUUUCACCACACUCCCUAUCCAUUUCGUACAUAUUUGAAGUCAACUAGAGAGACUGUUUCAUGAGCAAUUCUACAUUGGCCAGUCAAAAAUUAGCCUUAAGGAGCUGGCUAGCAUUAGGCGUAAGAUGUCUGAGUCGAUUGAUGACUAUUUGAACAAGUUUAGACCUCAAAGAAAGGUGCUUUACGCAAGUACCUGAACAUGAGUUGGUAGAAAUUGAUGCAGGUGGUUUAGACUAUUCCAUUAGGAAGAAGUUAGACACUUAUCAUCUUAAAGACAUGGCCCAAUUGGAAGAUAGAGUUUGCUAAGUUAACCAACUAAAAGCGGAGAAAGCAAAGUCGAAUAAGUAUAAUAAAAAAGAAAAUGUAGCCUAUGUAGAAACAAAUGGUUACUUAGAGUCAUAAUCUUUCGACGAAGGUUUCGAAGAGAACGGCGUCCAUGUGGAAGAAUUAAAGCAUGAGCCUCCAUAUGUUUGUAAAUAAUUUAAAAUCGUCGAACAGGAAAAAAUCUCAUCGAAUCUAGGAAAAAUGAUAAGUUUGUCACUAAGAUGUAUACUCUUGAUAUAACAAAAUGUGACGAGAUUUUUGAUUUGUUAGUUACUGAUGGGCAGAUAAUAGUGCCUCAGGGCCUAAAAUAUCCCCCAUUUAGAAUAAAGGAUAAAUAGAGGUUUUUGUAAGUACCACAAUUUUUUAGGUCAUAAAAAUUCCCAAUGUGUGUUUUUCAGGGCUUAAUAAGAGUGGGGUUUUAAUCUAAGAAAAUAGAUGUUUGAAAUAAGCUAUUUUGAUGUUUGGAAGUGUUAUGAUGGUUUUAUAACAAUUAAAGACCUUCAAAAUACGUUUAAAAUGUUUUUUUAAAGAAAAAACAAUAGUUUUUCAGAAAAAAAUUGCACAAUAUGUAGUGCUACAUAGGUGCUUGGUGUCGCUACAUACAUGUUGGGAGCCGCUACAUAAAUGAUAUGUAUCGACUCGAAACUGGCAUAAUGUUUGUUGCACUAUUCGGCGAUUUCGGCCAUAACUUCUGUUCCAUAAGUUCAAAUGAGACGUCGUUCGAAGCAUUGGAAAGCUAACGCGCAUAGAUACUUCAUGAAACUACUUGAUAAAUGUGUUAUAUGAGUUUUGGAAAUUUUUUGAGAUGAUAUUUAUGACUAUUCUGUUGUUGCAUGUAUGACUAAUGAUCUAAUUUAGGAGAUUUACUGUAAUACAUGAGUUGCACUAAAUUAUAUGAUGCCGUGCUUAUGUGAAUUGUUGUGGUGUGGUAAUCCAGAGACAUGAUUACUUUAGUUAUGAAUGCAUUUAUGUUAGGAUUAGAGAGGGGUCUUAACGCAUUGAUUUAAUGAUAUGAUCAUAUAUCAUAAGAGUUGUGUAAAGAGGCAUGUCUGCUAGUUCAGAGAGGGGACUAGUGCCUUGUCCCAAGCUUAGAGAGGGUGUUCGGUGUUCACAGAGAUUGGAACCCGGUUCGUAUGGAACCAAAUGUUAAGUUGAUAUCACAUGCAUAUGCAUAGAGUUGCAUAGUCGCGUUGCGUUUCAUAAUGAAUUAUAUGCAUUUUGUUUAGUUGUGAAUGAUUGAUGAGUUUGGGUGUGAGAACGUAUUGUGAUAUAUUAUGAAUGAUAUUGUGUAGACACCACUAGAAUAUUACAUUUUAGCCUCUUAAUUUAGCGUCGAUCACCGACACCGAUGCUAUUAGCGUCGACCAUACCCACGUUAUAAAGCCAUUUUGUCAUAUUGUAUAAAAAAUAAUAGCGUCGGAUGAACUGACUCUAUCUACCUAUAUACAUUUUUUAUUUAGAGUCGUUAUAUUCUCUUAAUAGUUUUUUUAGUGAUUAGAGUUGGCUAAGUCGACGCUACUGAAUUUACCAGUUUUAAGUAUAUUUAAGUUUUGGACCCAUAAAGAAUCAAGCUUGAGACCUUUUGAUAGCCAAAAAAUUUAUAUUAUUUUGCUUACCAGUACACCAUAAUGUUAUGGUUUUUUGGUAUUGUUUAGAAAUGUAUAUAUUUAAAACUAUUUUCAUUACUAAUUGCUUUUGUUACUUUUCUUUUUUUUCUUCAUUUUAUUUUACCCUUUUCUAACUAUUUCCUUUUCCCUCUUUCCCUUUUCAGUUUCCCCCUUUCUUUUUUAUUUUCCUCAUUUCAUUUUAUUUUUUCAUUUUCCUUAUCUUCACUUUCGUUUCAACCCUGUUUUAACUCCAAAAUCAAAUUUAACCCAGAAUUAAUUGAAGAAUCAAGUCAUUUCCAUGGAUUUCUAGAGUUUCCAUUUCAAUCCCUUUUCAUGGAGUUCUAGGGUUUUCAUUUCAAUCCCAUAAUCAAAUCAAAUCAAGAAUCAAUUGAAGAUUCCAUUUCCGUUUCAAGCCUUUUCCAUGGAGUUUAGGAGUUUAGGAUAAUCAAUUGACUCUAUGUUGUUAUUACCAACUAACAUGUUACUAUGAUGAUGCCAUGUAGUCCCUAUUUUAUGUUAUAUGAAGUUUCUUUUUAUUUCUCUUAUGUUCUUUAUUAUAUAGAUUCAGAAAAGUUGAUGAUUCACAAAUUUAUUGACUUUUUUGGUUUAUUUCAAAGUCGCCUAAACCUACGCUAAAGAUAAUUAUUGACUUUUCUUGGUUGACUUAGAUAAUUAUUGACUUUUCUUGGUUGACUUAGAGUCGGUUGACCGAUAUGCUAAACUUAGUUAUUGAAUUUCCUUGUUUGAGUUUAGAUUCGGUCGACCGAGGCUAAACUAAAUUAUUGAUUUUUCUUAUUGACUUUAGAGUCGGCUAGACAAACGCUAUAACUAAUCAUUGACUUUUUUUGGUUGACUUUAGAGUCAUCCAGGCCGAGGCUAUACGUAUUUGUUGACUUUUUGUCUUUUGAAAAUUUUAGCAUCGGCCAUUAUUAGUGUCUGCGUAGCCUCGGCUUAGUUGAGGCUAGUUAGCCACGGUCUAUAAUUAGCCAACGCUACUUCGUAGCUUCGCAAGUUUUAUCCAAGGCCCGACACUGACGCUAAGUCCGACGCUAAAUCCAUAUUAGCAUCGAUUUUUAGGCCUUUAGUAUCCACUAAAGGCCGACGCUAAUUGUUGUUUUUCUAGUAGUGAGAAUCUGUUAUGUAGAUAUCCUACCUUGCAAUGUAAUGCCUGUUAUUAUUGAUUAUGAGGUAACUGACUAGCUGCUUUAGAGUUGGUGGAAAGCAUGAGGUUGCUUCUUCAUAUUUCUUUCCGCAUUUAGUUUAUGUGCUUUGAUAUGUAAAACUGGGAACAUUUUGCGAAUUUUGUCUAAUAUUUUCAUUAGAGAGUUGAUGUAUACUCUCAUGUUUGAUAAUUUGAUGUUUUUAGGAUAUUUCACUUAUGGGUUUGAUUAUGCCAUAUAGUACAUUUGAAGUUUAAAUGAUUUAUUUAAUGCAUGGUUUAUUAUGAUCAAUUCCGUUACGAUGAUAUCCUAAGUGAAGGUGAGCAUGUGAUGACACCCUAAGUGAAUGUGUUUAUUGUUGUUUUUAUUUGAAAAGUGUUACAAGGCAUGUAUGUUUUGAAAAGAGAAUAUGUGACAUCCUAUUUGAUUGUGUAAAUACUUUAUUUUUAUUAUAUAAGUAUGCGUGGGGAAAAUAGGGUGUUAUAUAGUUGGUAUUAGAGCAGGUUGGUCCGUCCGGCCAGGUUUUCAUAUGUUGUUUGUUCCUUAGUACAUGGUGCUUACUUAUUUUUCUAACCGCUUACGAGCGAGAUUGAAACAAGUGGGGGGAAAAACUUUUGCUUCUCUGUGUUAUUGCAAGUGUGAAGAGUUGGUUCAGCGAGCCACUGAUUGCAGCAGUUCAGGCGAUGUCGAAGUUGUGUUGUUCCCGAAACUGAAGAGGCUGUUGAUUCGAGAUUCCUGUUUGCCGGUCAGGUUAGGAUGUCUUUGAAAGAGAACAAUCAGACAUUGUUGAGGGUUUCUUUUUGGAGAGUGAAGAGAAAUGUGACGACUAGUGAUGUGUCAGUAGUGUGUAACUCCUGAUGUUUUUUCUGAAGAUAUUUGUGACUUGCCUCUAGAGCGUGAAUCUGAGUUCGAUGGUGUUUUUUCUGAAGAUAUUUGUGACUUGCCUCUAGAUUUAUGUAAAGGUUAAAGAUAUUCAAAAUACUGCUUUUAGAAUGAGAUAUGGUCAUUACGCUAGUGAUGUCGUUUGGUGUGUCUAAUGCUCAUGGUGUUUUCAUGGAGUAUAUGAGCAUAAUCGUUCAUCUGUAUUUAGACAAGUUUAUGGUUGUUCACCAAUGCAUUGUCAAGAUCAAGAUUCAAACAUCGUUUGAACUGGAACGAAUUUGUAAAUCUAGAAUAAAGGUCAUAAAUUUUUCUUAGUUACUAAGUUUAACAACAGAACUAUUAAAGAUAUGCUUUCAUUUGUAUUAUUAGUUAAUGAUAAUAUGAGAUACAAAGAUAACAAACCUCAAAGUACAUAACCAUUAGAACACUUUAUUACAGUGGAAGCUAACUUGUAACAAGAAGACAGCAAGAAAACUAGAAAGGACAGUGAUGGUUGUAUCAUUAGUUGUAAUUAGGAUUGGCCAAAACGUAACCUUCAAUGGCUUUGAAAAGAGCAUCGCCCUUAGCUUUGCCUUCCUCAACCUCCUUUUCAAUAGGCUUAGCAUCUCCUUUGGUAUGAUAUUUAACAAUCAUCUUCCCAACAGAUCCACCAUUUGGACCUUCAAACAAUUUGGCCUCAAAUGAUAUCUUCUCAACUAUGUCCGAUAUACCGACUCCUCCAACUAUACUGUAAUUAUAUUCCAACUUUGCAUCAUCACAAACAAUUUGGCCUCAAAUGAUAUCUUCUCAACUAUGUCCGAUAUACCGACUCCUCCAACUAUACUGUAAUUAUAUUCCAACUUUGCAUCAUCAAUGGCUUCAACUUUGUGCAACACGUACAAGGUUUGUCCUCCUUCAACAAAAGUGAGCUUCUUGACAGUGCCUGGACCACCAUUUCCUUCAACGAUUUCAACCGUCUUGAUUGAAUCAACAACGUUUGGAACGAUGACAUCAGCGUCAUGCACGACGGCUUUGAAGAGCUUGGCAGGAGGGACGGUAGAGGUGGUAUCAUUCUCAUAUGUGAAAACACCCAUGACUAUUGAUUUGAUAAAAAGGAGUUUGAGAAGAAGAUAUGUAUGUAUGUUGGUGUGUGUGACUUAUGAGCAUAGGAAAGCUUUCUAUAUAUAAGCACUGCACUGCCUUCUUUGUCGACCUCAAUUUAUUCCCCGGCUGCUAAUAGUGUGACUUUGUUGACUCACUGUCACAAACAUGACUGGCUGUUGGUCCAUCGUUUUCAUUUUUCUAUUCAAACCAUUAUCUAUAUACUUUUCUUAUAUCAACAUUCAUGCAGCUACAUAAUCAGUUUUAAUUACUUUAAAAAUGCACCAAAUCACAUUUUAACUUGUAAGAUAAGCAUUGUCUAUAUACUUUUCUUUUAUCAACAUUCAUGCAGCUAUAUAAUAAUAAAAAGUUAAUACCGCUAACUUCAUACACGUUGCAUUCAAAUUCAAUUAUCCUCGACGGAUCAAAUUCAAGAAUUGUCUACUGUUUGUUUACAUCAAAUGUUGUGAAUUAAAUGAUGAAUAAGAGGUAUAAAGUCAUGUUGUUUAACGUGGACUAAAACUAAUGAUGCCCUUCUAGAAAAGGACUUUUUAUUUUUAAAUAGUUUUUUAUUUUAAGAUUUAAUAUGUUUUUAUUUUUUACUAAUUUCAGUCCUGGCUAACAUAGAUGGAGCAUAGCUUCAGUCUGUCGGUUGAAGUUACUAUCUGAUUCCUUUAUAGGAUUGACAACUUCAGCAAUUUGCUUAAGAAAGGGUUCAAAAUCUAAGACAAAGUUGACAAUAGACUCGGGUGCUUCUGGUAUGUUCAACUUUGAUAGAAAUCCCUUGAUUUCGAAGAUGGUAGUGGGGUUGUUUUCUAUGGUCUGAAUCAGAUCCAUGUCGACAAGUUUAGACUUCAAUUGGUGGAACAAUUCAGCGAACACGUAACUAGGAAUAUUUGUGCAAGCCUAAGGUCUCCUGGCUAUUUAUAAGUUUCUUGAAGGCUUCGACUGGGUUUUCCUCUUGAUUGUCUAGCAUUUCCUUUGGAUUAAGGGUCGAUCCAGAAGUGUCGAAGGAAGAGGUAGAGUGCAGGCUUUCGAGAGAUUUGGACCCACACUUUGGAGCAGGAGAUAAAUGAGUGUGUUCUUGCUAAUCCAUAUUAGAUUGAGACCCAACUAGGUCUUGAAUUUUCUUAGGUUGACCAACAUCUGGAGUCUAUACGACAAAGACAUUAGUUUCUUUCCCCUACGCAGAAUCAACAUGGUUUGGAGUCUUUGAUGUCAAAGCCCUUUCAUCUGGGCCAGGGGAUGGAUGCUCAGGCAUAAGUUCUUCAACCUGAGGGGAAGGUUGUUCAGACAUUUGUUUGUUUGGCCCUUCAGAUGCAGGUCUAUCUGGUUGAGCCUCAAUUUAUAUAUUGGUUGAGUCCACAUUUUCCUCGACUUCUUGCUCAUGUUGAUCAAAAAUUGUUUCGCCACCUCCAACGUCAUUAUUUGGUUGAACUGAUGGUGAACUCGUUGUUACAAGAGUCAUCCACUUGAUGCUGGAAAUAUAAUCAUGACAUGAUAAGUUGUCAGUCUUCCCUUGAGGUCUUAGAAAUUCGACAAAGAGAUUUCUCUUAUAAAAAGAGUUGAAUCAGAAUAUGAACUUUAGGUUGAAAUUAAUAGAAGAUGAAAGAAAGUAGUGGGUAAGAUACCUAUAUAAUUUCCAGAUUAUGACUCAAGUGAGCACUUCCUGGAUUGUUGCCAGGUUGGCGUAGCGUUGUUCGUCCUGUCUUUUUCUUUGCCAGAUGAGAAACUUCAUCUUCCUUAUUCCCUUUAUCAUCGAAAGUAACAACUGACUCUUUUUUAUUCUUUUUAGGAUCGCCCUCAGAUGUUAUUUUCUUGUCCUUUUCUUCUUGUUCUGUCGAAGACCAAAAGAUUUACCAAGAGCCUUGCUCUUCCCUUGAUCUCCAAAAUUUGCAGUUGUAACUCUAAUGGCUACGUCAGUUUUAUAUUUUAGAGGAAUGGGUGGAUUCGACUGCAAACUUUCAUCACUAUCAAUAUCAAAUUCCGCAUCUUUUUGUGGAGACUAACAUGUUCGACAAAUGUUAGUAGGACGAAAGAUAAAUUUGAAGAAAUGAGAGAAACUAAGAAGCAAUAUGCCCCAACAUUUCUUCAUUGUCAGAGGCUUCAGUGAGUUUAUAAGAGACUUAAAGUCUUAAAAAAGUUGAAGGUAUACAAAAAUACAUGUAUGGCAUUCUUUGUUAAGUCGAACCUUCUUUUAUUUUUGUUGGAUUCUUGUUAUGGUUCCUUUGAUGAUGUUGGAUUAAGGGGAAUAGAUGAAACAAUUCGACAUGAGUAAGUAAAGGAGAACAUAAAAAGAAAGUUUAAAUUUUUUCUAAGAGUCUUAUAGUUCACCUUCUAAAAUGGAUUCCAAGACUUGGACAUGUUCAACAUCAAUAUGAAGAUGGUCUCUAUAAUUGUCCAUGUGAUGUUUUGUCGAUACUAAUCUAUAAAAAAGUUUUUCCAGUUCAUUGUUUAAAGUUGAUAAAGAACCACAUGGAAACCAAUCUAGAAUUAGUGGUCGAAAGCCAAACCAAAUUCAUAGGUUGGCGAGGGUGGAAGUUUAGAAAAAUUAAAUUUUAAAGCAAAAUUGCACUUGUUUUCGACAUAGGGAGGAAUUGUCAAACUUCCAAUUUUUUAAUAAUUGUAUGUUUUAAAAAUACAUCAUAAACGGUUCAACGAAUAUCACAUGGGUUAUAUAAAAUUUUGUAGUAUCUUUGAAAGGCUUGAAUUUCUUUGACGUGCAUACCUUUGUUUUUCUUCUUUGGUCUCUAUAGAAAUGAAAAUGUGUCAGUUAGGCACUGGACCAUGAGUAAAGGAUAUUGCAUGCCUUUAUAGUAGGCGGACCACCAGUCUUCGAAUUCUCUUGUGUAGUGAAAAGAAGGUGAGAAUUCGAUAGGGUUGAGGAAUACAACCUUUUUCUUGAUGAAUUUUAUACACUUCUCAAGCCACUCUUCAUUUGGCUCAUCAGUGACAAUGAAAGGCAAUUUCUUUUUUUGGAAUGAGAGAUUUUGGUAAGAAUUGACUUAAACCAACCUACCUAGCUAUCAAGUUUAGCUGAUAGGCAUAUGUCUUUAUACAAGAUUAAGAAGAACAAAGUUUGGUCGACAAUGGGUAAGGUUGAAAGUAUUAUAGUAAAAUAUUAUGAAUCUCUCUUUGUUCUUCAUGCUAAUAGGCUGGGAAUAUGAUUCUGAAUGAAUUUGGUCCAUGACUCUGACUAGCGAAAGGUGCCAUGGUUGAGACAAAAGAUUUACAGUUGUAAAACAUAUUAAAAUGGGUCUCGAACACUUCUUUUCAUGCAACUUUGCCAUCAUCUUAGGUAAUCUGGGCAAGCCUUAGGACUUCGACACUCCUCUCUAAAUUAGGAAAAAUAUUGGCUCUGAGAGAAGGUUCAAAAGGUGGAAUUAAGCCAUAACUUUAGGAAUCAAAUGGAACCAGACACCUAGAGGCUUUCAAGAUGUUCCCGUUCCUUGAGGUCAAGAGAAGCGAACCCGAAAUAUUCAUAAAGACCAUACAGUAUCAGUUUGUUGAGACAAACAUCACUCUUUUCAUGGAGCUGGGUAGCCAGAGGUAUAAUUUUUUUUUGCCACUUGAAGGGAGCUGGAGCAAACAACAUAGCAAGAAAGCCAAUACGUGAGGAAAGUUGUAUCUUUUUGGGCGCCUACAUCUCAGUUGAAGCAUAAUGUUCUUCAAUGUAUGUGUUAUAACUAGGGUGAGCGCCUAACGUGAAUUUGGGCUGGGUUUUGGUGAUCCAAGAGGGUUCAAAGGGUUCUCCAGUUGGUUGAAGACCAACAAUUGAUGUUAUGUCAAAAAUCAUUGGGGUUAUCAUUCCAUGUGGUAAGUGAAAUGUAAUUAUCGUAGAUUCCCAAAAGAACAUGGCAAAAACUAGCAUGUGAGAGUUGUAACUAGGGCCAACUCUUGAUAGUUGUAUCAAGUCGAAGAUACCUUGAUCUUUAUAUAUCUGUUCUUUCUUUUGUUGGACCUUAUUCAGGAUGUAUGAAAGGUUGUUAAUCGAGGGAGAUAAUCCAAAUACACGGUUCUUCUGGAAAGCUGAAAUCAAAUGGCUUAUUCAUAAACACUAAGGAUUCACAUGUAGGAUAACUUGGGAAGAAGUGACCCAAAAGCUGGAGUUACCUAAUGUGCCUAGGUAGAGGACUCAUGAAAGCAUAAGUAGUACUUACAAUAGAAUAGGGGAUCAAUACUUGAGAAUACCAUGUUUUUCUUUUCUCCUCUUUCAUAUGAGGCUUUGGGACGUAAGUGAGAUUGCCUUUGAGGAUGGGGCAUAUGAUGUGAACAACAUAAGAAAUACUUGGAGCACGCUUGACAAUAGGACAAGAAUCCAUUGUUGAUUCUUCGAAACUUUUUGAAAAAGAGUUUGAGAUACGAGAAUGAGAGUUGCAAAAUCUUAAAGGAAUUUCUAGGGGUUUGUAGAAAAAAUGAUGGAAGAGAGAAAGAGACGUUGAAGGAGUAUAUAAAUAGCCAUCAAGAGGAAUAACUUUUCAGUUUCUCUUUGAAAAUUUCCAUGACAAAUGUCAUUUUAUGAUGGACAUGUGGCAUUUAUUUUCUUCAAAAAAAUUUAAAUGGACAAGUGUUUUUUUAAUAUCAUUUCAUUUCGUAGCCCAUAAUUAUCAUAUGAAAUCGAAGUAAUGAUGACAGUCUGCACGCACGUCUAUGACAUGGCGGUUUGGUGAAAAGUAGUCAUGGUGACUAAAAACGUCUAAUUAAUGUAACGUGUACAUGCUAUUCUGCAUAAUGUCGAGUAGCUACUAAAAAUGCCACCUUUCUUCCACUUGAUAUGAUCAAAAGUAACAUUUUUGGGGGGCAUAUGUUAGCUUAGAAAUUUUAGCUGAAGAAAAUCAACAAAGAAUGGUAAUAACUACGUUGAAAAUACUAAGUGUCAAAAGCUUCGACAUACUAGCUAUGUUGACUAAAGAUGGUUACACUAACCUAUCGUAUGAGUCGAAGCAAAGGUUGGUUUGGAGGAGUCUCAAGAAUAAAUCCACAAGAUUAGGAUCAAUCUCUCUCUCUCUCUCUCUCUCUCUCUCUCUCUCUCUUCUCUAUGUCUCUCUCUCUCUCUCUCUCUCUCUCUCUUCGGAACAUGGUCAAAAUCUUAAAAAGGGUUUCACACAUCAGAUCUUUGACUAGUGUCGAAGUCGACAUGUGUACCAGUUGUUAGGGACUUAAAAGACUCUUAAGACCAAAGACUAUGUGAUAUAAAUAUGUCUCAGCAUUAUGGGAGUUGAUCAAAGACUCUCGACAAAGGCAGUUAAGAGGUUCAAAGUAGUUAUCAACAUGGUUAUCAACAUCAUGUUUGGUUUCUUCAGCAAUUUUCAUCUAUGAAGACCAAGACACGUGGAAGCGCGCCAGAGUAUGGGAAAACACGUAUUAGAGUAUGAGUCGAGUGUUGAAGAAGUAAUUGUUGUCGAUGGUUAUCAAUGUAGUAUUAUAUAAACAUACUUCUUGCAUAGAUUUAGAGGUCGCAAUUCUUAUUAGAUAUUCCUAUAGACCUCAAAGUACCCGAGUCACUGUGAGAGACGAGUUUGAGAGAAAUAUCAAUGAAAUUACGUACCAUUUCUUUUAAGUCUUUCGAUUACAACAAUUAUUUUAUAACAUUUCUUGUUAUUUUCGUUUAGCAUCUUUAUCCAAAGUUUCCCGCAAUUAGCAUUUAUAUUCAGUUCGUUAGCAUUCAAGCAUUAACUUUUAAAUCACAAACACUUUUUUUUUUGCAUUUCUUCUACACAAAAAUGUUCUUGAGAUUUUUCUAGUUAAUCUCUUAAGUAAAAUAAACUUGUGAUUAUUUACUAAAUUUACAAGUAAACAGACAUCACCGAAUUAUUGCUAAGAUCAAAAUUACAAGUAAACAGACAUCACUGCUAAGAUCAAAAUUCAAACAUUGCAUGGACUUGAUCGAAUUUUUAAAGCUGGAAUAAAGAUCAUAAACUUUUCUUAGUUGCUAAAUUUAACAACAAUACUAUUAUAGAUAUGCUUUCUAUUAUAAGUUAUUGGUAAAGUGAGAUACAAAGAUAAGAAACCUCCAAGUUCAUAUCCAAAAGGAAUAAACCAGACAUUAGAACACUUUAUUACAUUGAAAGGUAACUUGUACUAUUAAG